rnacentral:RNase_P_RNA from 1 species
ACUACCAACCGAGCUAUCGCCUUUGUAAAAAGGGGAGGAAAGUCCGGACAGCGCAGAGCAACCUACCGGUGAAUAGCCGGCUAUUUGUUAUGUAAGCUUGUCGAAGCAUAACAGAUAAGAGACAGUGCCACAGAAAAUAACUACGAGUUUUUCAUUCCCCUCCUUCGGGAGGGGUUUGGGGAGAUCCCGUAAAGGUGAAAACGUAGGGUAAGAGCCUACGAUACUUGUAAGUAAUUACAGGUAAGGGUAAACCUUAGGUGCUGAAAUGCCACGUAUAGGAUGGGAUGAAGACUGCUCGUCUAACGUUUUCUGUAAAAAGAAGACACCAUCCAGGGUAGGCAGAAACAGGUUCCGGGUAACCGGGAUCGCAGAUAAAUGAUAGCAUUGGAACAAAAUCCGGCUUAUGAGUUGGUAGUAUUA